GAUGAAGAACGUAGCGAAAUGCGAUAAGUAGUGUGAAUUGCAGAAUUCAGUGAAUCAUCGAAUCUUUGAACGCACAUUGCGCCCCUUGGUAUCCCGAGGGGCAUGCCUGUUCGAGCGUCAUUUCACCACUCAAGCCUGGCUUGGUGUUGGGCGACGUCCUCUUUGGGGACGCGCCUCGAAACGCUCGGCGGCGUGGCACCGGCUUUAAGCGUAGCAGAAUCUUUCGCUUUGGAAGUCGGGGCCCCGUCUGCCGCAAGACCUGCUCGCAAGGUUGACCUCGGAUCAGGCAGGGAUACCCGCUGAACUUAAGCAUAUCAAUAAGCGGAGGA
rnacentral:misc_RNA from 1 species